rnacentral:rRNA from 1 species
UACAGGGGGGUGCAAACGUUGCUCGGAAUUAUUGGGCGUAAAGCGCGCGUAGGCGGUGACUCAAGUCGGAUGUGAAAGCCCUUGGCUUAACCGAGGAAGUGCAUCCGAAACUGAGUCGCUAGAGUACGAUAGAGGGUCGCGGAAUUCCCGGUGUAGAGGUGAAAUUCGUAGAUAUCGGGAGGAACACCUGCGGCGAAGGCGGGUUGCUGGGCUGACACUGACGCUGAGGCGCGAAAGCUAGGGGAGCGAACGGG